UGGGGAUUAGUUUAUAAGGUAAAACCUUGGCCUUUGAAGCUGAAGAAGCAGAGUUCAAUUCUCUCAUCCCCUGCCA
rnacentral:tRNA from 2 species